rnacentral:rRNA from 1 species
UACAGAGGGUGCGAGCGUUAAUCGGAAUUACUGGGCGUACAGCGCGCGUAGGCGGCUUUGCAAGUCGAGUGUGAAAUCCCCAGGCUUAACCUGGGAACUGCAUUCGAGACUGCAUAGCUAGAGUAUGGGAGAGGGAAGUGGAAUUUCAGGUGUAGCGGUGAAAUGCGUAGAUAUCUGAAGGAACAUCAGUGGCGAAAGCGACUUCCUGGACCAAUACUGACGCUCAUGUGCGAAAGCGUGGGGAGCAAACGGG